UCCGGUUUGACACCGGCAGUCUCCCUAGAGUGCCCGGCAUAACCCGCUGGUAACUAGGGACGAGGGUUGCGCUCGUUGCGGGACUUAACCCAACAUCUCUGAAACCCAUACGGGACAUGUCAAGGGCUGGUAAGGUUCUGCGCGUUGCUUCGAAUUGAACCACAUGCUCCACCGCUUGUGCGGGCCCCCGUCAAUUCCUUUGAGUUUUAAUCUUGCGACCGUACUCCCCAGGCGGGAUGCUUAAUGCGUUAGCUGCGCCACUGACCGGUAAACCGGCCAACGGCUAGCAUCCAUCGUUUACGGCGUGGACUAC
rnacentral:misc_RNA from 1 species